CCCUUAGAUGUUCUGGGCUGCACGCGUGCUACAAUGGCGUUUCCAGCAAGUCUGCGAACCCGAGAGGGCCAGCGGAUCUUCGAAUUGGCGUCGUGAUCGGGACAGUCGAUUGCAAUUAUUUGACUCAAACGAGGAAUUCCUUGUAAUCGCGAUUCGUCAUAUCGCGCUGAAUACGUCCCUGCCCUUUGUACACACCGCCCGUCGCUCCUACCGAUUGAGCGAUCCGGUAAAUGUUUUGGAUUGGUGCCGGGGCGGCUAGCUGCCGGUCGCUACGAAAUUUUGUGAACCUUAUCGCUUAGAGGAAGGAAAAGUCGUAACA
rnacentral:rRNA from 1 species